CCGUUUACAAAACAUCCCUCUGCCCAAAAAAUAAGGGCCCCCCUGCCCUGUGCUAUAAGUUUACGGCCCGGUUUUUGCCCGUGGAGGAGCGUAUCACUUUCUUUUAAAUGAAGCCCUGUAUGAAUGGCAUCACGAGGGCUUAGCUGUCUCCCAUCUCCAGUCAAUGAAUUGCCCUCCCCGUGCAGAGGCGGGGAUAAUUACAUAAGACGAGAAGACCCUAUGGAGCUUUAGACCUAAAGUAAGUCACGUUUAACAUGCUGUGAUAACAGUAAAAACUUAGUGAUAUUUACUGAAGUGUCUUUGGUUGGGGCGACCGCGGGGUAAAACACAACCCCCAUGUGGACCGGGGAUAUUAUCCCUAAUACUCAGAGCCUCUACUCCAAGUAACAGAAAUUCUGACUUUUCUGAUCCGGUAUAACCGAUCAACGAACCGAGUUACCCUAGGGAUAACAGCGCAAUCCCCUCCUCAGAGCCCAUAUCGACGAGGGGGUUUUCGCCCCCGCAUGAAGAAACAGGACAUCCUAAUGGUGCAGCCGCGUGUCCCGCUCAGUUGACCNUCGGUGCCCCCAGUUUGAACCGGAGUAAUCCAGGUCAGUUUC
rnacentral:rRNA from 1 species